UCUUAUAGAUGAGCAAAGAAAGUGGUUUCUUUAAAUAGCAUCUACUUUUGGUGAAGAUGCUGUGAA
rnacentral:pre_miRNA from 1 species